UACGUAGGGAGCAAGCGUUGUUCGGAUUUACUGGGCGUAAAGGGCGCGUAGGCGGCGCGGUAAGUCACUUGUGAAAUCUCUGAGCUUAACUCAGAACGGCCAAGUGAUACUGCAGUGCUAGAGUGCAGAAAGGGCAAUCGGAAUUCUUGGUGUAGCGGUGAAAUGCGCAGAUAUCAGGAGGAACACCAAUGGCGAAGGCAGCUCGCUGGGACGGUACUGACGCUGAGGCGCGAAAGCGUGGGGAGCGAACAGG
rnacentral:rRNA from 1 species